UACGGAGGAUGCGAGCGUUAUCCGGAUUUAUUGGGUUUAAAGGGUGCGUAGGCGGGAUGCCAAGUCAGCGGUAAAAAUGCGGUGCUCAACGCCGUCGAGCCGUUGAAACUGCCGUGCUAGAGAGGAAGAGAAGUAGGCGGAAUGCGCAGUGUAGCGGUGAAAUGCAUAGAUAUCACGCAGAACUCCGAUUGCGAAGGCAGCAUACCGGCGCCCGACUGACGCUGAGGCACGAAAGCGUGGGGAUCGAACAGG
rnacentral:rRNA from 1 species